UUCCUGCUGGUUUGAAAACAACAGCUAUGAUGAGUGAUGUCAGCUUUUUUUCUACAAUGAGAAUGUACUGCAAUCUACAGUCAGUAUUGGAACAAGAAGCAACACUACUGUCCUAAAGCCAGUUUUCUCUGAAGUAAAUUCCAGGGUCACUGACAAACUGAUCUCAGUCUUUAAUAUCCAUAAUUCCAACUUAGUAGAAACACAUAUAUAGUGAGCCGUAUUAGAAGACUACCUGCCCAGUUAAGGUUGCAAGCCAGAAGACUGUCCAUCAUUUCAGUGUCUAUGACAAGAAGUGCAUUCCAACACCCAGAUCCUUGAAGUCUUGGCCUUGCUCUGUCAACAUACUUCUUUUGAAGCCAUCAUCAAUUUAUGACAGUAACAUGUCAGUAUUCCACUUUGAUGUCUCUGCCAGGCUGCACAGCUGGCAGUUUACUCCAUAUUCUUGUUUUAAGCCUGCUUAGAAAGGUACAAGGAGAUUCUCACAUUUCCAGAAGAAGACUGCACAAAUGUGUGACAAGUAUGGGGGUAAUCACUGGCAAGUCUCAGAACCCUCAAGGACAGUAUUUGCUGUUUCUGAUCACACUGAGCUGAUUCCAGUAGCCUGAUUCUACCACAGAAUCAUCUAGGUAGGAAGGGGCCUCUUAGCUCAUUGAGUGCAAUA